UCAAUACUCAAUAUUUUAUUGGAUUACCGGGUUUUAGACAAGAGCAUGAAAAAGUAAUGAAUUAACUGCCUUCUAUGGCAGUCUUUAACUCUUUUUAAGCCAGCAAAAGCUCCGCUACUCACUCUUUUAAAUAGAUCACAGCAACUGGAAUCAGAUGGUGCCAUUCUCAUCUUGUUGCUGUAUCGAUUGAGAUGAGAGGAGCUUCUCCGAGUCCCGUGGAGCCCAGACUCCGUUUGUCUGCUUCAGCUAAAGCUUGGGACUUGGGAGGGUGACGAGUGGUGGCGUUGCUUGGGAGUUCAAUCGGGUGGUGGCUGGCCGGAGGAUGCUGCCUGCGAGUGGCGAUUGGCGACGCGAAUGCUAG